UACGAAGGGGGCUAGCGUUGCUCGGAAUCACUGGGCGUAAAGCGCACGUAGGCGGAUUGUUAAGUCAGGGGUGAAAUCCUGGAGCUCAACUCCAGAACUGCCUUUGAUACUGGCGAUCUUGAGUCCGGGAGAGGUGAGUGGAACUGCGAGUGUAGAGGUGAAAUUCGUAGAUAUUCGCAAGAACACCAGUGGCGAAGGCG
rnacentral:rRNA from 1 species